rfam:Polaribacter sp. Hel1_33_78 genome assembly, chromosome: I
CAGUGUUACGGAUUGAAAUGGCAUCCUUUUUUGAAGAAUUGAAAAAAAGAUAGAAUGUAAAGCCCGACCUUUU